CAGUCGCUGCUGAGUCAGGACAAGGAUGCCAAGGAUGUGGUGGACAAGGAUGACCUGAAUACACAGAAGGUGAGCCCCGGUUUUGAUAUAGAGUUGGUACGGCAACGGCACCAGUCGGGCCCGCAGAAGCCUCAAGUCAAGCACGACCCCUCCCCUGACCCCAAGCUUCUCCCAUUUGACAUCCAGCUUCAAAGGGUCAUCAUCGUUGAACAAAUUCCUCCUAUAGAAAAUUUUGAGCACAAAGAGUUUUCACACAUGGUUCUCAACAACCACAAUUUUCGUGUCGAGUGAUCCGCACUUGAGCCUGUUUGGUUUGUUAGACCCGAGUGCCGGAGAUGGGACAACCGUUACAGACACAAGGACUUAUUGCAGCAGUUAUGGCAACAUGUACAGUCAGUUCUCAAUGUUGGACUUCACAACUAAUAUCACGAUAAAUACAAAGUUGGAUAACUCGUUCCAUUCUUUUUGGGACAAAGAAUACAACGGAAAGUAACAAGAGAAAAUCAAGGAAUAUUUGUAGAGUUUUAGUCGGAAGUGUAUGCUUACCACUGGCAUACUCCUGGACAGUCGUAACUUUACGGACAGUCCCGGUUCGUCCUCACAGGUGUCCAAACUGGCCAAAGAGAACGCACUUUUGACGCAGUUGCUAACAAAGAAAGGCAGCACCGACUUUGUUGUGAACACUCAUAGCAUCCAUGGCCAUGCCUCAGGCGGGAAGUUCGACCAACAGCUGAAACAAGGUGCUAAAGGUGAACCCAUCAGGGUUUGUAACUACCCACUCCAAUCCUAAACAGCCUGGCAUUGAGUUGGCGCUUGAGAAGGCGUUGAAAAAUGACAGCAGUUAUGUUGUGUGGUCCAGUAUGCCCUUUGGCUCUCAACCCGAUGUUAGGUAGAACUCAAACUGGGCCCUUAGCAAUAUCAGCGAGGCUAGAAUGUCAUCUCUGCAUCUUGAGCUUCAAAUAAAUAUGGCAACACUUCCAACAGCUGAGCCUUGGUGAGUUCAACUUUCAUCCGACGAGUCACUCGAGGUGAAACAAUCUGAUCCACAGAUAGAGCAGGCGCUGAGUGACUCGCCUGUUUAGGUGACUGACCUCCAUAUGUUGCUCACCAAUAAUGUGAACCUGACUGAGGAGCAGUGUUGUCCUACAUUCCCUGUUCAGGGCGGUGACUUUGGCGUCAAGACUCACACAAUCUCUGGCUAUGGCCCUAUCGCAGCAGCAGCAAAAACAGGAAGACCCCAUGCAGUCACACAUCUGUACACAGCGGACAACAAGAGGCUCUCUGGUCAGCUGGGCCCCUACAGGACCCCAUGCAGUCACACAUCUGUACACAGCGGACAACAAGAGGCUCUCUGGUCAGCUGGGCCCCUACAGGACCCCAUGCAGUCACACAUCUGUACACAGCGAACAACAACAGGCUCUCUGGUCAGCUGGGCCCCUACAGGACCCCAUGCAGUCACACAUCUGUACACAGCGGACAACAACAGGCUCUCUGGUCAGCUGGGCCCCUACAGGACCCCAUGCAGUCACACAUCUGUACACAGCGGACAACAACAGGCUCUCUGGUCAGCUGGGCCCCUACAGGACCCCAUGCAGUCACACAUCUGUACACAGCGGAACAAGAACAGGCUCUCUGGUCAGCUGGGCCCCUACAGGACCCCAUGCAGUCACACAUCUGUACACAGCGGACAACAACAGGCUCUCUGGUCAGCUGGGCCCCUACAGGACCCCAUGCAGUCACACAUCUGUACACAGCGGAACAAGAACAGGCUCUCUGGUCAGCUGGGCCCCUACAGGACCCCAUGCAGUCACACAUCUGUACACAGCGGAGAACAACAGGCUCUCUGGUCAGCUGGGCCUGGACGCCUGGGGACAAAUCCUUGGUAUAGGCGGUGAGCUCUUGGGCCAGGAAUUUGGGUCAAAGCUGAACGAGUCCUACCCCAAGGGUACAUCCAGUCUAACCAUGGGGCUCCAAACUUCCCUUCUCAGGGGCAGAUAUAACCUCAUCUACAAGGGUCCUUAUCAUCACAAGUUUGGACUAGCAAAUGAUGUUCCCCAGCAGCAACACAGCCACUGCAUCUCAACAGGUCCUCAGUCUCUCUUGCAACAACAAAAGCUGAAGUUGAAGUGUGAAAGAGAGAAAGAGUUGACAUGAAAUUGCUGCUUCAGCCUUAAUUGGAACAUCAGCAGCACCAGCAACAACAACACUUAAAAUUCAGCAAUCAACAGUUCGAUUGACGAAGGCUUUCAAAUGAAAACAUGUCAAUUUACAAAGCACCCUUCCCUGAAAAUCUGGCCAAGCUAAUAAACAAUGUGAAUGCACCAACGUGACCCUUCAGAGAAACAGGAUUCCAGGCUGAAUGUCAAACCGUCUGGGCUCCAGCAGCAGCCUCAGCCGUGGCGGUCAGGUUCAUGAUGCACCUAUGCUCUCAAUGCUCUCUGAACAUCUUAAUCUCACAGCAACAGUGGACCAACAUGACCUUCAAGUUGGGGAUGGUUGAGGGUCUCCCAAAACCACCCAGUGCCUUGCGAUGAAAACCUCCAACGGGACUGUGACCUUGCACUUGUACACACCUAAUGGUCAGGUUCAAGGUCACUUGGGCUUAGAUAGUCACUGCAGUAAAAAAGUGCAAGGUUUUAAAGUAAAGAAGAUGACUUAACAACAUGACAUCCGAGACUGCAGGGACGAAAUGACUCACGUCAGCAUAGGAAGCCAAGACACAAUACGAGAAUUUCCAGCGGCUUACCUGCUUAAAACCUGGGUAGCAGAGCAAUGAGUAUAUCCCAGGAGCAUUUGCAGUCACAGCAAGUGAACCAGCGGCAGUCAUCGUCUCUAGAUUCCGAGAUCCCCAUGCUUCACAACCCUCAGUCUAUGAACAUCAUGCAGAGCAAACCUUGGACGUCCAUUGACAAAAUCAAACCGGCAAAUCAGAAGGACAGCCUGUUGCUACAGAUGUUAUCAUAUUAACCCCAGUCAUACCGAAGAAGCUCAGAGAUAUAAAUGCUGUUUAAGAUGUGCUUGUCUCUGCAUACUCCAUGUCUGGUGUGAACAUGUACAAUUGAAGGUCUCUGAAUACCCCAUGUCUGGUGUGAACAUGUACAAUAGAAGGUCUCUACAUACUCCAUGUCAGGUGUGAACAUGUACAAUUGAAGGUCUCUACAUAC